GUGCUGCUCAUUUUGGUGGCACAUAUGCUAAAAUUGGAACAACACAGAGAAGAUUAGCAUCUCUAGAUCCUGGGCAGAAUGACAUGCAAAUUUAUGAAGCAUUUCAUAUUUUU
ensembl:snRNA U6 U6 spliceosomal RNA